AGCUACGUCAACUACUCGAGUGGAAGCUCUACACCCUCUCGUGAACAUACCUAUAACUGUUGCUUCGGCGGGUAGGGUCUCCGUGACCCUCCCGGCCCCCCGCCCCCGGGCGGGUCGGCGCCCGCCGGAGGAUAACCAAACUCUGAUUUAACGACGUUUCUUCUGAGUGGUACAAGCAAAUAAUCAAAACUUUUAACAACGGAUCUCUUGGUUCUGGCAUCGAUGAAGAACGCAGCGAAAUGCGAUAAGUAAUGUGAAUUGCAGAAUUCAGUGAAUCAUCGAAUCUUUGAACGCACAUUGCGCCCGCCAGCAUUCUGGCGGGCAUGCCUGUUCGAGCGUCAUUUCAACCCUCAAGCUCUGCUUGGUGUUGGGGCCCUACAGCUGAUGUAGGCCCUCAAAGGUAGUGGCGGACCCUCCCGGAGCCUCCUUUGCGUAGUAACUUUACGUCUCGCACUGGGAUCCGGAGGGACUCUUGCCGUAAAACCCCCCAAUUUUCCAAAGGUUGACCUCGGAUCAGGUAGGAAUACCCGCUGAACUUAAGCAU
rnacentral:rRNA from 1 species